AUGCACCCUUUAAAAGCCCCAGAUCCGGAUGGUCUUCCCAGCCUGUUCUUUCAAAAAUAUUGGCAUGUGGUAGGAAAUGAGGUUAAGAAGAUGAUGCUGGAGAUUCUCAAUGGUGACCAGGUGAUUGCUAAUAGAGUGAAGCAUGUGUUGCCAAGUAUUAUUGAUGUGGUGCAAAGUGCUUUUGUUAAGGGGCGGUUGAUAACAGAUAAUGCUCUAGUAGCAAUGGAAUGUUUCCAUUGGAUGAAGAAGAAGGCCAAAGGAAAAAAAGUGUUAUGGCUCUAA